rnacentral:pre_miRNA from 1 species
AAAAAGACAAACCCUGGGUUUCCGUGUCCAACUUUAACUGUCCGUCUUAUAUGAAAUUUUUUUAUAAUUCGUAUUUUUAUUAUUGUUAGAUGAUAAACCAUAAUUAAUAUUUUAUGCAUGACUUGUUUUUUUAAUUUUUUUCAUAAUUUUUUUAAAUAAGACAGACGGUCAAACGUGACACGGAAAACAUGGUU